rnacentral:rRNA from 1 species
AUGAAGAUGCUGAGAGAGAUGAUCUUCGAGGACUCAUCGUCAUCCGAGGAGGAGGAAGAUGAUGAUAACUUUGAGAUUGUCGUUGGCAUAAUUUACAACGAUGAUAUUCGGCGGCGGAGGAGAGGAUCGCAAUUUGGCCGCAUACAACUCAAUCGUGAUAGAGCGGAGGGCCAUGCCAAGAUUAUGAGAGAUUAUUUUGACCCUAAUCCAACCUAUCCAAAUAAGUAUUUUUGCCACCGCUUUCGGAUUCACACAAGUCUAUUUCUCACCAUUGCAAAAGCCAUGGAGAAGUAUGAUGAUUGGUUCAAGCUUACACGGAAUGCAUGUGGAAAGAGAAGUGUGAGCCCUUUGAUGAAGUGUAUUGUUGCAGUUCGAGUCCUGGAAUAUGGGUGUUCGUCCACAUUGACGACUAUGUCCGCAUUGGAGAAGAUACAAUCUUGGAGGCCGUUUGAAGGUUUGGAAAAACAGUGA